UACGUAGGGAGCGAGCGUUGUCCGGAAUUACUGGGCGUAAAGGGUGCGUAGGCGGUUUGGUAAGUCAGAUGUGAAAUACCCGGGCUUAACCCGGGGGCUGCAUCUGAUACUGUCAGACUUGAGUGCAGGAGAGGAAAGCGGAAUUCCUAGUGUAGCGGUGAAAUGCGUAGAUAUUAGGAGGAACACCAGUGGCGAAGGCGGCUUUCUGGACUGUAACUGACGCUGAGGCACGAAAGCGUGGGGAGCAAACAGG
rnacentral:rRNA from 1 species